rnacentral:sRNA from 1 species
GCCAGGCAUGGUGGUGCAUGCCUGUAAUCCCAGCAGCUAGAGGCUGAGGCAGGAGGAUUAUGAAUUCAAAGUCAGCCUCAG